GGGCUUACCUAGUGGGGGAGAGACCAUGAUCAUGAAGGUAGUUCUCCCAGGACGAGGCUAGCCCAUUGCACUUCAGGUGUACUGACACCUGUGAUGUCCCCAUAUGCGGUAUACUCGGCUGCAAAAUUUGUGGUAGUGGGGACUGUGUUCAUGCUCUAUG